UACGAAGGGGGCUAGCGUUGUUCGGAAUUACUGGGCGUAAAGGGCGCAUAGGCGGUGUGUCAAGUCAGGCGUGAAAGCCCCGGGCUCAACCUGGGAACCGCGCUUGAGACUGGCACGCUCGAGUUCGGGAGAGGAUGGUGGAAUUCCCAGUGUAGAGGUGAAAUUCGUAGAUAUCAGGAGGAACACCAGUGGCGAAGGCGGGUCUCUGGGCCGAUACUGACGCUGAGGAGCGAAAGCGUGGGGAGCGAACAGG
rnacentral:rRNA from 1 species